rnacentral:rRNA from 1 species
GCGCGAAAACUUUACAAUGCUGGCAACAGCGAUAAGGGAACCUCGAGUGCCAGGUUACAAAUCUGGCUGUCGAGAUGCCUAAAAAGCAUUUCAUAGCAAGGGCCGGGCAAGACCGGUGCCAGCCGCCGCGGUAACACCGGCGGCUCGAGGGGUAACCGUUAUUAUUGGGUCUAAAGGGUCUGUAGCCGGCCGGAUAAGUCUCUUGAGAAAUCUGGCAGCUUAACUGUCAGGCUUUCGGGAGAUACUGUCUGGCUCGAGGCCGGGAGAGGUGAGAGGUACUUCAGGGGUAGGGGUGAAAUCUUGUAAUCCUUGAAGGACCACCAGUGGCGAAGGCGUCUCACCAGAACGGACCUGACGGCAAGGGACGAAAGCUAGGGGCACGAACC